GGGUUGUGAGGUUAAGCGACUAAGCGUACACGGUGGAUGCCCUGGCAGUCAGAGGCGAUGAAGGGCGUGCUAAUCUGCGAUAAGCGCCGGUAAGGUGAUAUGAACCGUUAUAACCGGCGAUACCCGAAUGGGGAAACCCAGUGUGACUCGUCACACUAUCAUUAACUGAAUCCAUAGGUUAAUGAGGCGAACCGGGGGAACUGAAACAUCUAAGUACCCCGAGGAAAAGAAAUCAACCGAGAUUCCCCCAGUAGCGGCGAGCGAACGGGGAGGAGCCCAGAGCCUGAAUCAGCAUGUGUGUUAGUGGAAGCGUCUGGAAAGGCGCGCGAUACAGGGUGACAGCCCCGUACACAAAAGCGCAUGUGCUGUGAGCUCGAUGAGUAGGGCGGGACACGUGGUAUCCUGUCUGAAUAUGGGGGGACCAUCCUCCAAGGCUAAAUACUCCUGACUGACCGAUAGUGAACCAGUACCGUGAGGGAAAGGCGAAAAGAACCCCGGCGAGGGGAGUGAAAAAGAACCUGAAACCGUGUACGUACAAGCAGUGGGAGCACAGGUUUACCUGUGUGACUGCGUACCUUUUGUAUAAUGGGUCAGCGACUUAUAUUCUGUAGC
rnacentral:rRNA from 1 species